AGAUUCACAACCCUUUCGUUUACAUUUGGAGCAGGACCUGUUUUCUUUUCCCUCUCCUGCUGCAAAGUUACUAGGGCUUAUUAGAUUUAGUAUAGCACUAUCAUUAAAGAAGGGUAAAGUCUCAAUACAUGUAGCAACCCAGGGAUUUUUAUUAAAGUAAUUUUUUACAUGCAUGUAUAAAUUGUCCUUUGAAGGAUGCUCCAUGUUGGUUGAGCAUCAAGUGCUGUCCUAGGUUAUAAAAGCAGGACAAUACAUUUAGAGAACCUGAAUAACCCAGUUGUACCUCCCACUGGGACAUGACUGAAUAACUGUUGUUGCCAGUUAACUAUUACACACGUGGCUUGAAUCACUUUGACAAAGCAUGACCCAAAUGAAAGGUCUGUAGCAACAAAAAUACCCAAGUAAAGCAGGUUGCCUAAGUCAGAUCACCCAUAUUCUAGUCUGCCCUGCCCCAGACUUGUUCUGUGCCCUUUGUUAUCUCCUGACUUCUCUUUGCUGCUAUUCUCCAGUGUAACACUAUCUCAUUAUUUAAAGGGUUAAUUGUCUGCCACAAGCUGUCUGAGACCCUGUGAUGCAAGGUGGUGUGAGCUGUCCUGUAAUUCAGAGGCUUCUAAGACGUACACUUCUGAACCUGGUCUAGUGAGUGCUGUUGCUGCCCCGGCUUUUCUAUGUAAAUGACCCUGAGCAUGGCAAGAGUCAGUCCUGCUGCAGGCGCAGUCUGUUCUGGAAGAGUUCUGCAUGGUUGCAGACAGGAAGCUCCUUCCUUAGGCUUUCUGGGACACUUGGCUUCAGUCAGGGCUGGAAAAUCAAUGUGCUCAAACACCACCAGCAGCACGAUUCCUGGCUGCAUUCUGCCCUGCCUGCCUUGGAUCAGGAGUUGCUAAGAAGGGUCUGAGCAGACAGACCUGCCUUGUAUAUGUUCCUCUGUGUGGCAGUUUUUUUAACUCCAGUAAAUUCCCAGAAACUCCCAGCUGUGGCUAAGUAGCACUUGUUCUACUCCACUUCUGACCAGUCUGACUUCACCUCAUUCUGGCUUUCUCUUCCACAGACAAGCUGCCUGUACCACUCAACCUGGUAUCCAACAAGUUGGCUUUAGUCUCUCAAAGCAUUUCUAGGGUUCUGUUUAAAAUCAGGCUCUGAAGCUUUGCCCCUUACACCUACAAGCUGCCUCCCAGACCCUUAGCAUACUCAGAAGCACCUAUCCCUAUGGCAGUGGUGGCCUUAAGGUUGUUGGGGCCCUGGGCAAGAGAGUCAUUUGGGGCCCCUUAGAGGUUUAAUUUUGAUGACCUAUAAGCAAGUCGGACAUUUUUUAAAAUUUAAAUUUCACUUUGCCCUAUCCGUGAAACUGCAGUGAAAGUAUCUUAAUACAAUAUUGAUAAUACAAAGAAAGAGUUUUUUAACAUUGAGCUAUAUUCUAGUUUCAUUGUAGGUUCAAAAUUUUGGGGGCCCCUAAAGUGUGGAGCCCCGGGCAGUCACCUGGUUUGCCCUCCCCUAAGGCUGGUACUGCCUAAGGGAGUGAAGUUGUAUUAAACAGUGAUGGUGCCUGUCCAGGCAAGCCACAGAGAAGACAGCAUCUCUGUGCUUCAGUGCCAAUGAUAACUGGAGCCCUUGGAAGUAGCUGAGAUCAUAGCUGCCAGGGGCUUUUCACAUUAAGUGAACUGAAUUCCCUGUUUUUCUUUUAGUUUGGGGAGGAAUUAACUCUCCAUAACUCCCAGUCUUUUCCAUUUCCCCUGGGUGCCCAUCACCCUCACUGCUCCAGUGUAGAUUUCAGUGCUCACUCACUAAAUUCAUGUUUCCACAGCCCUAGAGAGAGAGGAAGUGAGCUGCCUCAGUGCACUUUGUGGCAUUAAGGGAUGAACCUUGGAAAGAACUGGCUUGUUUCACCAGUUUGGCUCUGUUUGUUCCAGCCAUGAUCUUACACUAGGAAUUUUUAGUGUUAAAUGUGACCAGUACAGACAGAUGCUGGGCUGAGUUUGAAUCCCAUAGCUGGGCUGAUGGAGGCUCACUGGGCAUCAGCCUUAUCUGUGGUAACACGCAAACAGCAGACAUAGUACCUCUGUCUCCCUGGUGGGGAUCUGAUACAUGAAUUAUUUCACAUUAGUGUGUGGCUGUGAGCUGGGACUGUCAAUAUGACAACUAACACCUUGGUGUAUUCAAAUGGAAAAAUGCAGGAAGAGCCCUGUUUGUGAUACCCUGAGAACAGAUUAAACACCCCCAUGCUGGACCCCUGCCCACUACCCUGACAGGCCUUUGCAAUCUUAAUGGGACAAAUUUCCUUAGAUGCCAUCACCCUGUGGCUCAGACUGUCCCAGAGCCUGGAGGUAUCUGAUCAAAUCCACUCUAAUCUCCAUCUCGCUGCCGUGCUUGUGACCUACCAGGUGUCCCCUUAAUUCAGUUAGCAAGAGAGUGAAAGCAGCCUUGCCUGGAACAAUGCCAUCAGGUUAGAAGGGCAGGGGAGGCUCUUUAGGGCUCAUUUGUACUGAUUACAGGGGAUCCCUGCUAAUCCCUCAAGAUUUCUCCAUUUAAACUCUGAGGAUCUUAGGUCAGCAGUGGAGCAGCUAAUCACUUAAACUCCUUGUGUGCCACAAGUUACUGCAAUGAGUCAGUCAGGAAAGGGAAAUGAAAUGGGUAAGGGGAGAGCCAGUCUGAGUCAGUGCUGUGAAGAGGCAGGGGUUGUUUGUGGGGGAUAAGCACCUAGAUGACAGUAGUUUGUUCAUGACUUCAAAGCCCUAGGGAAUCAACUCAGUCCUACCAUCUUGCCAAGGCAGAAGCUGCCUUCCAACCCUUGUGGGGAGGAUUUAAGAUUACGGGACCUGCAAAACAUAGCUCCUUUCCAUUCUGCAUGGAUGCUAGAUAUCUCCUAGCAUCUGCAUUCCUUGAUGGACUUCCUUCCUCCUGGUGGCAUGUUGGUGGUGCUGCACGUCUGUUGUUUGGAAAGUGCCUUGGGUUCCUGGGCAGGAUGAUGCAACUGGCAUGGUUUUGUCAUGUUACUAAUGAGGAUCAGAAGUGCCUGCACCUGCUGUCACAGGUGAGGGAUGUGGAUGGACAGAUGUUGCUCAGCCACAACAGACCUGAGAGAUGGGUGAAGGAUGAAUGCAGGGAAUUCUUUUACACUAGUCUUGAAGCAGUCAGGUUUGUCUGGGGCAUAGGGACAACCCCUCCCCGUAGGCUGUAGCUGGGAAACAUUCCCCUGCUGUUCAGAGCUGUUGCUCCGUGCUGCACGGGGGUUAAUGCAAAGCAGGAUCACUGUGGGGACUUGGAGGAGAUUCUCUGGGGCUGUAGGGAUAGACCACAGGAGGGCUUUGGCCUAUCUUAUGUGUUCAGUCACUAGUGGUGCCUCUGCCUCCAGGGAGGGCAUUACACACCAAAUAUUGAGAUCAUGCUGAAAGAGAAGCUGCUUAACAAAGCCAAUAGGAGAUCCUGAUGGCAGGGGCAUGUCCUGAGUCCUACCCCUCAGAAAGACUUAGACUGUCCAGACUGUAUGCUUCUCAACAGUGUAGCCUAGCUUGUGCAGGGCUCUGUACUUCCAUGACUCAAAUGCUCCUGAUACCCGGGUAGAGCGGGUGUCUGCACAGCAGUGUGGUGUGCAAUAUCUUUAUUUUAAGCAGAGUAUAAGAACAUGACAUGGGAGUGGUCAGACUCUUGAGGUAGGUGCUUUAAGUAUUUGCUACCUGGUCAAAGUUAGGACACUGUCUCCUCUGGCCAUGCUUGUGCACACCAGGACUGAUGGAUGUGUUCUGAGAAUGCCUACUGACCAGGCUUGCAGGUGAGUCCUUCAUUCAUUACAAGACAGAGCUCCAGACCUCAACUGAGUAGCAAGCUGCUCAACACUGUCAAGGCCUAAGCCAGGGCUGUCCAACUGGUGGCCAGAUCACAUGCAGCCUGUGAGGGGUCAGUUUACAGCUUCCAGGCUCCCAGCCAGCCACCGCUCCUGCCCUUGCUCUGGCUGUAGCAGCAGCAGAAUCAGCAGCUAGGGGCUCUGCAGUUCCCCUUCCUCUUGUUUCUGCUUCCUGCCCUUGCCCCAGGGGUCAGGGCAGGAUGGCGUGGCACAGCCUCGGGGAGCCUGCCACCUAGGGUACCUUUGCUGCACUGCAGGGGAAGAGGGACCAGGAUGUGUACACAUGGUGCAGCAGGACGAGGGGGUUGCAGCAAGGGGAGUGCUCACGUGGGCCAGGGAUCCAGUGUAGUUUGUGGUGAUGCGGCCCAUCAGGUGUGUGGCCCCCAGCCACCAAGAAGUCAGACAGCCCUUAUCCUGGCAAUUCUGGGAAAACAACAUUUGCAGCCCUAGGAACUUACUAGCACAAACUUGGGAGCUUGUGGAGCCAGGCAGCAAGUGAGCAGGGGUUUUGAGGUUCUAACGUUUGGAUAUGGCAACCUGAAGGGGCAGUUUGGCAGCAGCUGGGGCCUAAGAACUUCGGCAAAUCUAUCCCCAGUGCCUAGCUCACCAGCUGCCCAACAACCUGGCCCAUUGUCUCUUGCUUCUAAUGGGGGCAUAGGCCUUGGCAUCCCUUCCCUCCUGUUGCGGGGUGGGGUGUAUGUGUGUGAACAUGGGUGUCUGAUGGGCAGUGCUGGAGGGGCUUUGGAGACUAGUAGCCUUUUAUAAACUUUCUUCUUGUGAAUUCUAUGGUACAUUUGUCUUACAGAAGGUUACCAAGCCCUGCUGUGAACAGGGGAAGAGUAAAAGCGGUGUGCUGCUCCCUCCUCUACCCCCUGCCCUCCAUAGUUAGAGUAUCAUUCCUUGUGCCAGAUAAGUUGCAGUUGGCAGGUGAUUAAAAAGCAAGGGAGGAGGUGUCUAAAGUUGCAAACGUCCCAGCAUCGUGGCGAGUCCUGGCUCUGCGGCAGUCGUCAUCUCUGAGGAACGGUUCCAGUUGUAGGAGGUGCGAGUCUUUCACAGUGUGAAAGGGCGGAAGGACGUGGGGACCACUUUAGGGGAGGAGAGGCGGGUUGCCUCGCACUGUCUCAAAUGCAGCCAGCCUGUUAACCUUUGUGUGGCAACAUCGGGGCUAGAUGCUCCACCUAGGUCCUCUUCUGCCCUCUGUAAGGUGCUGGUUCCUCUUCAGCUGAGAAUAACCUUCAACGGGACAUCAUCCGAACAAACUCUGCAGCCAAUGAAAAAUCAGAGAGCCUGAAGCAGAGCAACUAAUGCAUCAAUCCCCCUUGUCCUGCUUCUUUUUAUCCUGAGAAACUGUGAUGGCAGUGGGAUAAGGAAAGACUAGAAAGCUGCACCCACACUCCCCAGAUCUGCUUUGCUUCUUUGCUGACUCUGGAGAGUUAACACAAAAUAGACCUUGGUUCCUGGCACACUGCUAGAGUUACAAGAUCUUACUAGCCAGGGCAGUUUAUCAGCUAGGACUGCUGCCCUAAAACUAUGUGAUAGCUUAUUUUCUCAAUAAACUCCUUAGUAAACAGUAUAACAGAUAGCAUCUUCUCAGACUCCACCAUAAUUUCAGGAAGAGAAGGCUGCUUACGGAACCACUGAUUUAUAGAGUUAUAGCAGUUUUGGGAAUAUGCUGCAGUUUCAGUGAGAUAUUGCCAUGUUAGGGAAGCACUAAAUACAUGGGAGUACUGCAGCUUGAGGAGAUACUUGACUUUCUGUGGAAACAAUUUUGUUUGAUAGAUGCUGCAGUCUUCAGGAUACAUUUGAACUUCAGGGAGGUCCUUGGCCUGUUUCUCUACCACAUGUUGUUUGGGGAAUCAAUUACUUCUAUGGAAAUGGAAUGUAAAAUGCUACUCGAUCUGAACGCAUUUUAAUUUUGCACUCAAUUUGCCUAGGAAUGAAAAAAACAGGCCAGUUUACUUUUGAGACAUGUACUCAAGGUCUUAAUAAAAUGGAUUUAAUCUUAAUUUAGAAA